GCUUGUAGAGCUCUACGACUUCUUUGGACGGCUUGCGUAGUUUGGCCAAAUUCAGCCACAGAGGUGCUUUUAGCUGGGUCAUUUGAUGGUUGAGCCACCCAGGAUUGGGCUGGUUGGGAUUCUAGGUUGAUUGUCGUUUUACUUGUGGAGAAUUGAAGUGUUGCAGGUUGAAUAAGAAGUAAUGAAUGAAAGUGACAGUGACGAUGGUUCAUUAGACUUAUGUGAUAAUGAA